GCAAUGUGCUAUGGGACACCAGAGGUGUCUGCCACCAAAUCAGAAGGGGAAACUACGCUGGAAUUGGAAUACAACUCUAAUGUCUCCUUAUAAUAGCAGCGAUGAGGUGGGGCAUGGCCAUUCUGUGGACCAGGAAGAGCCAUCAUCACUACAUCUGCCACUAUCCACAUCCUUCACCUUGAAGGAUGCCUCAUCUUGAAAGAUUCACUGUAGCAUCUUUGGAUCCAGCAACAGAAUCUGUGACCUUCUUCACCCCAAGUGCCUCAAGUAAAUUUACUUCUGCUAGAAGCUUAGAUCCUGCCAUUCUUCUUAACUGUGCAGCUCACAUAUGCAAGCACAUGAGCAGAUGGCCCAUAUACCUACACAGGUUUCGGCCCAUCACCUCUUUCUUUCUCUUCUCUAAGUAUGGACUACCCAGUGCUUCAUCCAAGGUACUGGCUUUUCAUUUUCUACUUUUCCUUUUUAAAUCGUGUGUGUUUAUUCUUC
rnacentral:lncRNA from 1 species